rnacentral:tRNA from 1 species
GUUCCUGUAGUUGAAAUUUACUAACGGUGGUUUUUCAGAUCACAAGUCUUGGAGAAAAGCCAAGCAGGAAUU